UGCACGCUGGCUCCACUUCCGUUUGCCACUAGCCUGGCAUUCCUGGGUUUCCCUGUAGGACCUGCGCUGGCUUUUGGAAACUGUCUCCCACUGUUGCCAGAGCCUGCCUGGACUUUUCCCUGAGAGGAAAGCAUACACUGCUCCUGGAUGUGUGGGGGUCACCAGCUGUCUCCGCCUGAGUGCCACCCCGGGCUGUCAGGGGAGCGUGCUGGCUCCAUCUGCAAUCUGCCAACACCUCCUGUGAUUUUUCCCACCUCUUCUCUUCACCUGGACCCCACCUGAACCCCAGGUCCACACGCACCUGCUGCAAUCAAAGGCAGACUCAGCCUUCGGUUGGUGGAGGUGGGAAGCCAAGGUGGAGCACAGGGUGGGGACUCAAAAGCUCCAGCCUCCUGCAGGACACAAAGAGGGACCCGAGGAGGCAAAAGGUGGGGACAAAGGUGUCUGAAGGUCCCACUCCACCCCAACGCUGUGACCACUGGCUGAGCCACCACUACUGCCCAGGAGCAACCAGACAGUCAUGAUCAUGAUCGGCACCAUAUGCCACCAGGCACCUUCUCACUUCUCACCUUCUCGCCAACGCCCCACUGUUGGGAUUAUCCUUUCCUCUGCUGUGAGACACCCUGUGCAAGGCCUGGGUCCGAGCAGUGCUAGGUAAAGAAGGCAAUGUGAGAAGGAAGGAAGGAUGAUGGACAGAUGGAAGGAUGGGCAGGUGGACAGAUGCAUGCAUUUGUUGGGGGCUGGGCACUGUGAUAGGCACAGAGGAUAUGGCUGCAAACUCAGCUCAGCUGUGAGACUGAGUGAAAGAUCAAUGUAGGAAUGAGACCAGGGACGUGGUCUUCAGGAAUGAGGGAUGGAUGGACAGAUGUGUGGAUCCAGGUCCAGCAAAGUAUUGGAGGGUGUUCCAGUCCCCUGAGAAGGUGAGGGCAGAGUCAUUUGCUGGCCACUGUUCAGCAGUGCCCAGGGCCCACCGGGGUUCCUGGCCCUCAGAUCAUCCCUUUGCUCCUCUUCCCCAUGGAAAUUCUUGUCUCCCCAUGCAACCUCUGCUGCAUCUGUGGACAGACACUCUGCUCUGCCCAGCAGUAAGUGUACACCUCCCCAGCUGAACACAAAUCAAGGGCACCAGAAGGAGACAGCAGCAAGACAGCUUGACCCCUAAGGCCCGGAGUUUCCCUACAGCCCAGAGAUGCCACCCACCCUGAUAAGGACAUAGGGCAGUCCCAGUGACUUCCUUUAUGCCUUCUGCUGACACCCACUGCUCUGUUCACACUGCUGAUACACACACUCCACAUCCACCUCUGUCCUGGGGCCCCCUGGUGUGUGAUGUAAUCCCCAAGUCCUGCCACUUCAGCAUCAGGACCUGAGGCUCCAAGCCCCAGGCUUGGGCCUGCUUUUCCUGAGGGCAGUUGGGGAGACUGUUGAAGUCUGUGGCUUGGGUCAUCUAUCAAAUGAGGACACAUGCCUUUGCUUUGCUCACCUCCAGAGGCAAAAGAGUCAAGAAGUUUCUUGGGCACAUGAGAAAUGCGUGGAGGUGGAAGCUUGGUCUCUUGCACUCCUGGUCUAUGCAGCCCCUGGAACCAAAUGGAACCGAAGCAUCUAAACUGCAUACCUGAAGGCUACAGGGUUGACUAUAAUCACCCUAACCCUGGCAACCACGCCCCAGGCUAAACCCACUGGGUGGAUUUCCCCAUCAACUUUUACCAUGCCACUUGAGGCUGGGGCACUUAGUACUGUAGACCUACAGGCAAGAUGAAGAGGGCUGAGGGACAGGCUUGAGGUCACACCCAGCCAAUAUAUCUCCAGAGUUUGCAGGAGACUCUGAGGAAGCCCAGCCUUACCCUGAAAAAUACCCUACCUCUACUUAAUGCAGGGUCUCAGGGAGUGCAUGAAAUGCCUUUCCAGUCUUUCCUGUCUGCAUGAAAAGACACCUUAUACCUGUGCAGGACUCCAGGUUGAGGGUGAGCUCUGCAUCUCCGAGGGAAGCAACAGAGGUGCAUUAGGUGAAGCACUGCAGAGCAGCCGUAUCUUUGGGAAGAACAAAAUGGUUUCUAGGGUAACUUUCCAUUCACAGGCUAAUUUCCAUGGGUCUUUUUCAUCAGUUCCUCUAUUCAUCCACUAAACAAAUAUUUGCCCAGUAGCUCCUCGAUGCCAGGCCUGUUUGCAAAAAGAUUUCCUGAGGGCCAUGGUACUCAAGCAGACUGUCUGGGAGUCUUAGCACGCUGGCUCAUCUUCCUUAGACCAAGCUGUGCUUGUCUUGUCUGCAAACUAGAGGUGGCGGCAGCAUCUACCUGUGUUUUGUGAGGAUGAAAUGCUAAAGUGCUCUGAACCAUGGAGGCACACAGUUAAGUGCUGGAUAAAUGUUUGCCACAUCCAAAUGCAGAGGGAAAUUUACAUUCCUGGCUUCAGAAAGCCCCGCCUACCCUCCAAGUUGCUUCUGUUGAAUGCAAUUGGCCUCUAUUCCUUUCAUUAGAUCAAUAGGAAAAUGUCCUGCCUUUGGGACACAUCUAGAAGAAAAUGGUCUACACGGCCAGAUGUGGAUGGGCAAGCCUAUGGCUCUGAGCCAACCCCAAGAUCAGCCCCGGGGGAUCCCCAUGCUUUCCAGAAGGGAACGGGAGGCUGAUGGCACUGCCCUCCCCUUGAUAAGUUAGAGUUCAUCUCCACCUCUGCAGGCUUUAUCACUUUCAAGCCCAGCCUUCUAGCUCUUUCAAUAUGUGGUCAUCUCUCUAUGCCCUGGCUGGGGUUAAGAGACCCGGUUCACCCAGCAGGCAAGUGCUGAGCGGGUCAGGGGUCUUCCCUCAGCCUCGCCUGCAAGAUGAUUGACAAAUAGAGUGAGCAUUUAAAUUUUAAAAAUGUAUAACAGUAAAGAGCACAUUGCCAUUAAUCUCCCUUAAAAUACUCCCCCUGGCUUCAAGCACAUCCCAUGAUUCUUGCCACUUUCUAAAGUAGUGCUGGAAGCUGUCUUUCAUGAGUGUUUUUUGUAGCUAUCUCUGGGGCUCAAAUCAAUUCAAAACCUACACAGCAAUUUCUAUCAAAUAAAGACACAACAGUAUAACGCAUCCACACUAUUGGCUGGAUCUGGUACCAAGCAACUUUUGGCUCUCUUCCAAAUCAAAAUAGCCAUGAAGAGUAAGUAUUUUGAAUCAGUUCAGGACACUAAAGCAGCCACAACAGUGCAACUUAAGACACUCAUGAAAGUGGAUUUCCAGAGCUGCUUCAGAAAGUAUCAGGAACAAUGGGAUAAGUGUGUUUAAAACUGGACGUGGCAGAGUAUAUUAAGGGAGAUAACGGGCUAUGUGUCUUUAACAAAUUGCUUUUAACUAAACCAUUCGCCAUAGUUUCCUGUAUAUGAAGACCCUGCAUAUGAAAUGAGACUAAUGGGGAACCCAUCUUGCAAUGCUUUGAGUCCUCAGAAAUGAACAGUGUCAGCUGAAAGGCUCUCUUGACUGUGCCAGCAGUCUGAGCCCACAGAAGUCAACCCAAAGUAACAGCCUCAGUGAGUCAGCGGCAGCGGGCCACCCCUUCAGUGUUCCGUGACACUGUGGGAGCACUCCUGAAGUGGCACCAGAGCCUUCCCACAUUUGCCCCAGGUCUCGAAUUGACUGAGCCCUGUGGGGUUGAGGUCAAGACAACUGAGUAACCUUUUUCUGGGGCAUUAGUAGCCAGGCAUCCUCAGCGGCAGCACAGGAAACAGAUGACAACUAAAUGUCAAGAGUUUGUCAGAGACUGCAGGUUUAGAGCAGGGAAGCUCUGCAUGGUGCUGACCUCUGGCCCCGAGGAUGGUGAGAAACACCUCUCUCUGCAGCCCCAGAAGGGGUUCAAGACCUCAGGCUGGGACUGGGUCCCUCCUCUAUCCCCACUCGCCCACCUGACAAUUCUACCCACCCCAUUUCAUGACCCAGUUCUAGGGCAGCCCUUCCAUGAAGCCUUCUUGGAGUUCUCCCUUCUUCCCUGAUGGGUUCAGCUUCUGAACCUCUGAGCCCCAAAAGUCCCACAUUUCUUUACCUGCAAGAAUGCUCAGAUCCAACUCUUUGAGCUUUGUCCCCACCAGACCCAUCCCUCACCCUGCACAGUGUGAUGAUGAUGAGUUUAAUCCCCAUAGCAGUCCUAUUCAGGAGGUGACCAUCGGGACUUCGGGUGAGAAGGAUUGGGGCCAAAGAUAGAUAGCAACCUGCCCUAGGGCACAUGGCCACUAAGUACCAGCAGCAGGCUUUGAGAAAAGGCCUGUGUUAGACCACAGAUCUUUGAUGUACCUCUAUGCCAUGCAGCCUCUAAAUCAAUGUAUCCAUUCAUUCAUUUGACAAACAUUUGCCAACUACCAUAUCUCAAACUGGCCUCUGUGGGCAUGAGACAAAUAUAUCCCUGCCCUCCUGAACUUUAUAGCUUGACAAAGUAGGGAUUUUUAAAAAGUCAUAAGGUGAUUAAUCAAGUAAUCUAAAAAGUGAAGACAAAUAUUUACAAGCAACAAAAAAAGCGUGAAAUAGGGAACUCACUUUUGCUGGGUAAUCAGAGAAGACCUCUUAGAGUAGAUGACAUUUGCAACAAGGCCCUGAUGGAUAAGGAAGAGCUAGCUUUGGGGAAAAUGGACAUGGGGCACAGCAGACAAGGGAAGAGGAAAAGCAUGUGCAAAAUUCAGAGGACAUACCACUCCAAGUGUGGAGCAACUGCCAGCUGGCAGGUGGGGCCAGAGCAGAGUCAAGAGAGGAGAACAAAGAGCAGAGAUGUGCAGACAGGUGGAAGCGCGGUCAUGUCCCAGAGCAGCAGGAAGUGCGGUGGAGGUAAGCAGGAGCCGAGGGCCCAUUUACAUUCAAGGGCAGCAGCUGGCAGACUCAGCCCUGCCCACCUAGGCCAAGGCAAAUAUAUCCCUGCCCUCCUGAACUUUAUAGCUUCUGUCCUGGCCGGGCAGAGCAGCCUCCUGCUCCUCCUCAUCCCAACAUGACAGGGUCUUGACAGCCAGAGAAGUAACAGAGGACCAAAAAGGAGCUCUGCAGAAGCCCCUCCCUGCUGCCACCAGGGUGCAGAGCAGGCAGCCAUUCACCCUCUGGCCACCCAGCAAGCUGGAAGGCAGCAUUGUGCCCUGGUCAGCAGCCUGUCCAUCCUCCCACCCAUUAGGCUUCUGGAGCCUUGAUCUUCAACCACCACUGGCCACCCUUGUCCUGUGAAUUUUGUUUUGAUAUGAAUAUUGAUGUUCUUUAUAUUGCCAAGUAUGUUAAAAAUGAGACAAUAAGCACAUAUGUUGGAACUUUAUUUAUUCAUCAAUGAUGUGAAUGAUUUAAUUUUUUUUCUGAAUUUGAGAACAGAACUCACAAUACUGGAAUACUUGUCAGAACUGGAUCGUGGCCUCCUGGGUUUUGGUGUGACUUGUGAUGCACAGGGCCCACGUGAUGGGUGUGCCUUAUUUAACCUUAUCACCUCUACUUCUUCAAGUUUGCCCAGGUGGAUAACAAAUAACAAAUCAAGGGCUGACUGAUAUCCCUGGCAGGCUUGCACAGUGUAAAUAUCACCAGCAUAGCCAAUUUCAAAAUACACUGAACACAGAGUUAGAGAAAGAUACCCAGGACAUCACACAAUACAGUGUUCCUAUCACCCCACUGCCAUGUCAGUAGCUCUGAAAGUAUGUGUUUAGCUUUCAAGGCUGCUGUAACCAACUCUCACAGACUGGAGGCUUGCACAAUGGACAUACAUGGAUGUACCACUCUGGAGGCCGAUGUCCAAGGUCAAGCAUAGUGAGAAGUCCUGUCCUGUGUGUCUCCCUACACUUCCAGUGGUGGCUGCAAUCUUUGGGGUUUCUUGGCAUGUAGAAGCAUUACCCCCAUCUUUGUUUCAUCUCUCCAUGUGCGUGUCUGUGUCCAUGUUUCCCCAUUUUAUAAGGACACUAGUUGUUUUGGAGCAGGAGGUGUCCCCAAAAACUUCGUGUUAACUGGGUUACCUCAGUAAAGACUCAGUCACCAAAUAAGGUCUGUCCUGAGGUGAGCAGGGGUGGGACUUAAACAUAUAAGCUUGGGAGAAGGUGUCUCCCCAGAGUGACCAACCAACCCUCUUAUUUCAGUGCCGGAGCACUGAAAAGUUUGCAUCCCAGGAAACUCUUUGUCCUAGGAAAACUGAAUACUGGGUCAUACUCACCUCCUAAUCAUAGAGUCACAGCCAAACAAAACAAAACAAAACAAAAACCACAGUUUGAGGGGCUGGGGAAUUAGCUCAGAGGCAUAAGUGCCUGCCUUGCAAGCAGACAGUCUUGAGUUCGAUCCCUGGUACCAAUAAAAACAAAAAAGACAAAAAAAAAAAAAAAAAAAAAAAACUAAA